UCUCACUAACGCUUCUCAUUUUAACCUUCACUUCAUGUUCCCGCCAGUGAUUAGCGCGUUACUGCGCAUGUGUAACAGCCGGUCCCUGCGUGUGUGAACUGAUCCUGCCGUCUGGCUUAUUACUGCGCAUGCGUCUCACCCCUGCACAUGCGCACUGACUAUUUGCCGACACCUGUGGAAGGAAGAGUUGUACAGAAAGCGGGAAGCAGUCCGACUCUGCAUGUGUGUGAUAUGGGAACUGCUGGACAUUAUGCCGCCUCUGCUGUGUAUUAUUUCUUCAGUUCAGUCCCUUGCACAGCAACUGCAAUUCACUCAUUUCUCACACUGACACACGUCGCCUCAUUUUGACUGACUGAAGAAAACCUGUGUGAUCACCUGCAUUACCUGUCCUGCCCAUGUUGUACAUCCAGGUAUUUGUCAAUCGAAGGCUGAUUCCCGACUCCAUGAAGAGAGAAUGGAGGGAGACAGAUGGUACACACUAAGAGGAUUAUAUUUAGAAAGUUUCUUAUUUCGUGUAGAGAGAUGGUUUCACCUCCAAACACAACCCACCUGUCUCUGUGGUACUGGGAUUGCUAAAUCCAACCUGGUGUUUUAUGUCCGACAUCGGCAGCGCAAGAUCCAGUGAAGAAAACCAGUCUGGGGAAAAGACACGGGAAAACUCUAUUUCUGAGCUGAACCAGAGACACUGGGAUGCAAUAAGGCAUCCGAUUCCACUUCUGCUGGUAGGUUGUGCCAUGUUUCUAAAACAACAGCAACAGUUACUGUUCCAUUCGUGCUGCAAGUGUCAGAAUAUAUUGUGGGAUUUUCCUUGGCAACUACUUUGCUCUAUUUAUGUCCCGUUUAACAGCUGUGGAAGGAUUUCCCCGUUCCUGUCCUCUAUCCCAGAAUGCCCUGUCCCCCUGGCUGGUCUGUAUAAUCCUGCGACACAAAGGCAUGGCCUGGGCAAGUCUAUAGGGAGUCUGGGUAAGACCUGACUUGGAAAGGAUCCCAAAAUAAAUGCAACCCUUGGCUGUUCUGCUAAAAGCCCUUUCCCUGACUUUCCUUCUUCCAACUUGUAGUAACCCAACACCCUUCUGUUACUCUAUCUUGUCUCUGGGCUGCUGCUCAUUUAACCCUCACACUGCCUUACUAAUCCCUAAACUAUAAACUGGAAACCUCUAAACUGCCUGUUGUCUGUGCCAGCAAAGUUCUAUUCAUGUCCAACAGUCUCCAUUAUACACACGGGUCUGUGUAAAUCUGGCUCCGUGCUCUUUGUUUCUGCAAGUGGAGCUGGAAGUGUUAAAACCAGUAGAUGUGA